rnacentral:rRNA from 1 species
GGUCCAGACUCCUACGGGAGGCAGCAGUGGGGGAUAUUGCACAAUGGGGGAAACCCUGAUGCAGCGACGCCGCGUGAGUGAAGAAGUAUUUCGGUAUGUAAAGCUCUAUCAGCAGGAACGAGACAAGACGGUACCUGAUUAAGAAGCCCCGGCUAACUACGUGCCAGCAGCCGCGGUAAUACGUAGGGGGCAAGCGUUAUCCGGAUUUACUGGGUGUAAAGGGAGCGUAGACGGCAGCGCAAGUCUGAAGUGAAAUGCCGGGGCUUAACCCCGGAACUGCAUUGGAAACUACCGGACUGGAGUGUCGGAGGGGUAAGUGGAAUUCCUAGUGUAGCGGUGAAAUGCGUAGAUAUUAGGAGGAACACCAGUGGCGAAGGCGGCUUACUGGACGAUCACUGACGCUGAGGCUCGAAAGUGUGGGGAGCAAACAGGAUUAGAUACCCGUGUA